rnacentral:rRNA from 1 species
UACGGAGGAUGCAAGCGUUAUCCGGAAUGAUUGGGCGUAAAGCGUCUGUAGGUGGUUUAUUAAGUCUACUGUUAAAGAUCAGGGCUUAACCCUGAGCCGGCAGUGGAAACUGAUAAGCUUGAGUACGGUAGGGGCAGAGGGAAUUCCCGGUGUAGCGGUGAAAUGCGUAGAGAUCGGGAAGAACACCAAUGGCGAAAGCACUCUGCUGGGCCGAAACUGACACUGAGAGACGAAAGCUAGGGGAGCGAAUGGG